rnacentral:rRNA from 1 species
GAUUAAGUUAUUAAGGGCGCACGGUGGAUGCCUUGGCACUAGAAGCCGAUGAAGGACGUUACUAACGACGAUAUGCUUUGGGGAGCUGUAAGUAAGCUUUGAUCCAGAGAUUUCCGAAUGGGGAAACCCAGCAUGAGUUAUGUCAUGUUAUCGAUAUGUGAAUACAUAGCAUAUCAGAAGGCACACCCGGAGAACUGAAACAUCUUAGUACCCGGAGGAAGAGAAAGAAAAUUCGAUUCCCUUAGUAGCGGCGAGCGAAACGGGAAGAGCCCAAACCAACAAGCUUGCUUGUUGGGGUUGUAGGACACUCUAUACGGAGUUACAAAGGACGACAUUAGACGAAUCAUCUGGAAAGAUGAAUCAAAGAAGGUAAUAAUCCUGUAGUCGAAAAUGUUGUCUCUCUUGAGUGGAUCCUGAGUACGACGGAGCACGUGAAAUUCCGUCGGAAUCUGGGAGGACCAUCUCCUAAGGCUAAAUACUCUCUAGUGACCGAUAGUGAACCAGUACCGUGAGGGAAAGGUGAAAAGCACCCCGGAAGGGGAGUGAAAUAGAACCUGAAACCGUGUGCUUACAAGUAGUCAGAGCCCGUUAAUGGGUGAUGGCGUGCCUUUUGUAGAAUGAACCGGCGAGUUACGAUUUGAUGCAAGGUUAAGCAGUAAAUGUGGAGCCGUAGCGAAAGCGAGUCUGAAUAGGGCGUUUAGUAUUUGGUCGUAGACCCGAAACCAGGUGAUCUACCCUUGGUCAGGUUGAAGUUCAGGUAACACUGAAUGGAGGACCGAACCGACUUACGUUGAAAAGUGAGCGGAUGAACUGAGGGUAGCGGAGAAAUUCCAAUCGAACCUGGAGAUAGCUGGUUCUCUCCGAAAUAGCUUUAGGGCUAGCCUCAAGUGAUGAUUAUUGGAGGUAGAGCACUGUUUGGACGAGGGGCCCCUCUCGGGUUACCGAAUUCAGACAAACUCCGAAUGCCAAUUAAUUUAACUUGGGAGUCAGAACAUGGGUGAUAAGGUCCGUGUUCGAAAGGGAAACAGCCCAGACCACCAGCUAAGGUCCCAAAAUAUAUGUUAAGUGGAAAAGGAUGUGGCGUUGCCCAGACAACUAGGAUGUUGGCUUAGAAGCAGCCAUCAUUUAAAGAGUGCGUAAUAGCUCACUAGUCGAGUGACACUGCGCCGAAAAUGUACCGGGGCUAAACAUAUUACCGAAGCUGUGGAUUGUCCUUUGGACAAUGGUAGGAGAGCG